rnacentral:sRNA from 1 species
UUUUUUUUUGGUAUCAUAAAGUAUUAAUCACUAUUUGGAUUGGUAUAUUUGCAUGUAAGCACUUAUUAAGUAGUAAUAACUUCUCUCAAGCAAAAAUCUUGCAGUCGGGAGUCAAGUUUACACAGUGGACCGUUUGUCCCUGCAAAAACUUGGACUCUUUCUGAUAGACUCUUUGCUCGUGUUCUUAACUCCUGUAUACAUUGUGUAUUUGGUAACUGUGCUAAGUUUGACAAGUUCUCUUGUAUAAUCUUUAUUGUGUACUACUCCUUGCUUAGAUAGAAAUACAUAUAAUAUUCUACAAUAGGAGAUGAGAGUGACAGACUAUUUUGAGUUUUAUAGGAUAUCAAGGCCUUGUGUGGUUAACCACAAUUAAAGUUAAAGUAAGAUCUGAUAGAAAUAUCAGAUUAAAAAUCUUUUUUGGGCUUUUUGCUAAAGGUAUUUUGUUAGGAUCAAACUUAUAAGACAACCAUAAGACAAGAACGGCCUGAGAAGGUAGAGGUAUGCCCUGACAUUGACAUGUGUAUGGAGUGUCAGAUGUUUUGAAUAAAUGUUGUUUUUGUGG